UACGGAGGGGGCUAGCGUUAUUCGGAAUUACUGGGCGUAAAGCGCACGUAGGCGGAUUAACAAGUCAGAGGUGAAAUCCCAGGGCUCAACCUUGGAACUGCUUUUGAAACUGUUUCUCUUGAGGUCGUGAGAGGUGAGUGGAAUUCCGAGUGUAGAGGUGAAAUUCAUAGAUAUUCGGAGGAACACCAGUGGCGAAGGCAGCUCACUAGCUCGAUACUGACACUAAGGUGCAAAAGCGUGGGGAGCAAACAGG
rnacentral:rRNA from 1 species